AUGACUUCCAGAGACAGAGGAAAGGCUGAAGGUUGAGUUGAUUACCAGUAGCUCACGAUAUAAUCAUUCAUGCCUACAUAACACAGCUUUCAUAAGAACCCAAUAGGACAGGGUUCAAGGACCCUCUAAAGAAUGCCACACCUAUAGAGGCAUGGAAACUCUUUGCCACUUUCAUCUGACUAUUGAUCUAUAUCCUUUGUAAUGCCUCUUAUAAGAAAUGGGCAGAUUCUAGCAGUGUUUGUGAGAAAAACUGAUGGAUCCUGCAGAUUAACUAUGGACAGCCAAAUAUUGAGUAAAGUGAUGUCUACAACAGCAUCAGCUAUGCCUGAUAUGGUGUUAAUUCACAUUGUGAAGUCCUCAAUAGGAAAAAGAUGCCUCCCUGGUCGACCUUCCUGGAAAGUAUGCAUAUCAUUACUGCUUAGAUUUUGUUGGAGAGAAAUCACACUACCAUCAAAGACAACGGGUCAAAAAGAAUGCCGUCCUAAGCUGAGAAGCCAUCUUCCUAACGACAGCCAUGAUUGCUAAAGUCCUAUUGCAUGCUUUAAGAUGCCUUGCGUUU
ensembl:lncRNA LINC02109 long intergenic non-protein coding RNA 2109